AGCAUUGUGAGCACAGGAACUCCGGACUUCUAAUCAAGACUCUGCUACUGACUCCCUGCAUAGCCUGGGGGAUGGGCCUAGCCUAGCCAGGAGAGGAGACUGCAAAGCUGGCGUACAGGCCUGGCAGACUGCGAGGCUGCAGGUCCAGUAAAGAAUAG